AAGGUUUCUUGCGAAUUGGGUAAUCAGGACCGUUAAUGAUAAAUGGAUCUGGGAUCUUUCAAAUCGUGCAGAUGCAAAAAGUCCAUAUUCGUUACUUUUCCACAAAGGGAUGGUGACACGGAAUUGGGAGCAAGGUCAAACACUGGACUACACUUUUAUAAUUACAUAUGCACUGACUAAACUGAACUAACAAGUGAUCUGAGG
rnacentral:misc_RNA from 1 species